rnacentral:piRNA from 1 species
AUAGACAGACACUGGGGUGCA